UUCGCGCACAAGGUUGCGUAUCAUUGCCGCGCGCCGGUUUUGCGCAUCUCUUGCUUUCUUAUCGUAAACUGUCGCGUGGUUGCUUGCUCGGCUACGGCAUGUGUAAUUGUUUGCAGCCAGUUUCGUGCCGGUCGCUGUUUGAUCCAGGCGUGUUUUGACCGACUCGUAUUGUUUGUUCGUAUUGUUGUUUGUAUCAUCUAGCGACUAUUUAAUUGUAACUACUAUAAUAAUGUGAUUUAUUAUUUCUGCGUUUAAUGUACAUUAUUGUACAAAAGUAGUAUAUAUUCGAUCGCGUUUCGUGUGCAUACUUAUGCAGAUAACAAGGUGUCCGUCGCUAAAUGAAUCGGAUCUAGGAUGGCCCUCAUGAAGAUUUCUUGAUCAUUAUUCUUGUCACUUGCUGUGUCCUAGUGAAUGAUGCGCAUAACAAUUCUACUAUCUUUGAUAAUCUGAUGCACUGGUAAGUUUGUAAACGUUAUUACAUCAAAAUUACAUAUUUAUCUUAAAUCGCAGGUAACGUGAGUACCGCAAUAAAAUAAAAUUGAUGCGUGCCGUCGGAGGCGACUUCGAAUAACGUGAAUUUUGCUUGCAUUUUCUUUUUAUUUCAUAAAUCUGCAGGCUCUUUAACGUAUUUUCGUAGUUUAACAAUUAAUUAUUGCGACUUAUGUAUUUGCAAAAGAUGAUUUAAAUUUCUUUCCGCGUGUGUGCUUGAGGUGCCGUCGGCGGACACGUUUUGCCUUGCUUGUGGCGUAUCUGGAGAAUUCGUCGCAAAGAAAUUUUCAAAAUUUCUAGCUCUUUAUUCUUAAAUUAAAAUGUAAUUGUAUUUUCGUUGUUUCAUCCUCUCUAAUCGUGAAUCUAAUUCCAUGCAUGGAAAAUUUUGAAUUUUCUUAUUAAAUAUAGCGAUUUUCUUCUUGUAUCACCCUAUGUAUUAAUUUUCCUUGCUCUCUAAUGUAAAACUGGCUAAAUUUGUCGUUUUCGGGUUUUUUUCUAUAUAAACUUUGUAUUUUAUUUUUAAAUUUGGAAAUUUCUUAUUUUUAACACCCUGUAUGUUUGUUUUUCUUAAUUUCCUAUUACAAAUUUUCUAAAUUUGUUGUGUGUUUUCUUCUUUGAACUAUUGAUUUUCUUUUUGUAACACCCUGUAUAUUUGUUUUCCUUAAUUUCCUAUAAAAAAACUCUAUAUUUAGUGUUUCCUAUUAUUUUAGUUCUUGAACUUGGCAUUUUCUUUUGUGAUGUAGUAAUUUUCUUUUUGUAUCACCUUGUAUAUUAGUUUUCCUAACAGCUUGUUGAAAAUCACCUUUAGUUGUAAGAUUUCUCUGUUUUGAACUUCGAAUUUUCUUUCUAUAUACAGGGUUAACGAGCUGCCUUUGUAGUGUUCAGAGUUUUUUUGUUUGCCCUUUAAAUUUUCCUUUCGUAACACCCUGUUUAUUUGUUUCCAUUUUCAAUCACCUAGAAAAUUGGCUAUUUUCUAAUUUUAUUAUUCCAGUAGAACUUUAUGAAGUAGUACUUGCUGAUAUGUGCGCGGCUAAGCAGGUCGUAAGUCCUGUUUCAAUAUGGCGACAUGUAUUUUGUUGACUUGUAAAAUCUAAACUUGUAUUCUAUUAUUAAUAAA